rnacentral:rRNA from 1 species
GACGAACGCUGGCGGCGUGCCUAAUACAUGCAAGUCGAGCGAAUCUCGAGGAGCUUGCUCCUUGAGAUUAGCGGCGGACGGGUGAGUAACACGUGGGCAACCUGCCUGUAAGACUGGGAUAACACCGGGAAACCGGUGCUAAUACCGGAUAAUUCUUCUCCUCACAUGAGGGGAAGCUGAAAGUCGGUUUCGGCUGACACUUACAGAUGGGCCCGCGGCGCAUUAGCUAGUUGGUGGGGUAACGGCUGACCAAGGCGACGAUGCGUAGCCGACCUGAGAGGGUGAUCGGCCACACUGGGACUGAGACACGGCCCAGACUCCUACGGGAGGCAGCAGUAGGGAAUCUUCCGCAAUGGACGAAAGUCUGACGGAGCAACGCCGCGUGAGGGAUGAAGGCCUUCGGGUCGUAAAACUCUGUUGUUAGGGAAGAACAAGUAUCGGAGUAACUGCCGGUACCUUGACGGUACCUAACCAGAAAGCCACGGCUAACUACGUGCCAGCAGCCGCAGUAA